AGAGUUUGAUCAUGGCUCAGAUUGAACGCUGGCGGCAUGCUUUACACAUGCAAGUCGAACGGCAGCGCGGGGCAACCUGGCGGCGAGUGGCGAACGGGUGAGUAAUAUAUCGGAACGUACCCAAGAGUGGGGGAUAACGUAGCGAAAGUUACGCUAAUACCGCAUACGAUCCAAGGAUGAAAGUGGGGGAUUCGCAAGAACCUCAUGCUCCUGGAGCGGCCGAUAUCUGAUUAGCUAGUUGGUAGGGUAAAGGCCUACCAAGGCUACGAUCAGUAGCUGGUCUGAGAGGACGACCAGCCACACUGGAACUGAGACACGGUCCAGACUCCUACGGGAGGCAGCAGUGGGGAAUUUUGGACAAUGGGCGCAAGCCUGAUCCAGCAAUGCCGCGUGAGUGAAGAAGGCCUUCGGGUUGUAAAGCUCUUUUGUCAGGGAAGAAACGGUGGGGGCUAAUAUCCUUCACUAAUGACGGUACCUGAAGAAUAAGCACCGGCUAACUACGUGCCAGCAGCCGCGGUAAUACGUAGGGUGCAAGCGUUAAUCGGAAUUACUGGGCGUAAAGCGUGCGCAGGCGGUUUUGUAAGUCUGUCGUGAAAGCCCCGGGCUCAACCUGGGAAUUGCGAUGGAGACUGCAAGGCUUGAAUCUGGCAGAGGGGGGUAGAAUUCCACGUGUAGCAGUGAAAUGCGUAGAGAUGUGGAGGAACACCGAUGGCGAAAGCAGCCCCCUGGGGUCAAGAUUGACGCUCAUGCACGAAAGCGUGGGGAGCAAACAGGAUUAGAUACCCUGGUAGUCCACGCCCUAAACGAUGUCUACUAGUUGUCGGGUUUUAAUUAACUUGGUAACGCAGCUAACGCGUGAAGUAGACCGCCUGGGGAGUACGGUCGCAGAUUAAAACUCAAAUGAAUUGACGG
rnacentral:rRNA from 1 species